GCAGAAGUUUUUGCGUUCACCCUAAACUGUUGGUUCAUCUUAUUUCUGACAAGAUCACACCAUUUAACAGGUGCUGCCCACUUCAUAGCCAUCUACAAAGCAAUUCAGUGGUGCCCACAGAGCAGCUGACAGAGAGGAACACCAUGAAAAACCUCAGAAUGAAGUCAGAUAAGAAACUAAUGUCAUCCACCUUCGUUUUUAGCUCAUUCUUUUUAAGAAACAUGAUUUAAAAGCUGCAACAUUUGUAAUACUUGAUUUCCAGCAUGAUGCUGUGCACAACAUAGUAUUUGCCUUUCCAUUCAAGUACUUUUUUCUUCUAGGCUUCUGUAAUACUUCCAUUUCUGAAGGACAGCCUACCAAUAUGGCAUCUUUUCCUAUGGAGAAACCCCUCCUCAAGCACCACUCAGAAGCUGAGGACUUGCAAGAAGUGCCAUGAGUUCAAGAGGCUGCAGAGUAUAGGAACGGUGUCCAGAAGCUUACAUGAAGGGCACUAUUCAGAAGGAUUGGGACUCACUCUUAACUUCACCUCCACCUGCUUCUCACAUAAAGGAUGCAAGCUUCCAUUAGCGUGCCCUAAGAUGACCAUGCUAUUACAUAUCAGUUGAAGUCUUCUAGUUUCCAGAAAGAUCUCCCCCUGCCACUGCCUUGCACUCAGGUUUAUCCAGUGAGAAAGCGACUGAAACAUCUGUCUGCUUCCAGUGAUGUUAGCUACUCACUGCAUCAGCAAAAUGCAAGAGCCUGCCACUGCAGCUAGUCAACCUCCAGGAAUUGUACAGCCUGAAAUAAAGAAGCACCAAGUCUAUGUUUAGAUGGAAGGGAACAAAAGUUGAAAUCCUUAGGAGGCUCUGAAGACCAUAAAUGAAAUGUGCAGGGCUCUCACUACACGCAUUCCAACAAACUCUCAGCAGUGCCUUUAGCAGAAGCAGUGCUGCCCGGUGCCUCAGUGGCUCAACGUACAUGGAGAGCUGAUGGAUUGCAUCCUGAGGCACGAGGACAUUGGGAGAGCAGGAUGCUGGGCAUGCACUGAAGUCGGAGCUUCAGAAGGCAGUCCUGAAGCGUUCUGGACUGUGAGCCAUGGGGUAAGCAAAGAAAGCUAAUUACAAAAUUAGGGGCAGUUUGACCAGACACGCUGUAAGAGAAUUCCCCAGCCUGGUCACACCUGAUGCUGUGGCUGCUGGGAUGGGCAGGGCUGAACACUUGCAGUGAGCAGAAGCUCUGCAGUGCGAGCACCCCUGCAGCUCCAUUGCAUCCUCCCCGUGGAUAUGCACAAGCCUUCUCAGGGAAGGAGCAGCAACUAUUCAGCACAUUUGGUGUGCAGAUUUCUUUUUACUACUUCUGUACUCCGCCACGUGCUUCCCGAAUAGAUUUUGCUCACUGCUGCAAAACUGAGGCUUUACUGAAAUACAAACCUCAGUAAGUUCUGUACCAAGCAAGAGACUCCUGCACGCACAAAAUCCUGUAUUUUCAACAGAGAACCUGCAGAAAACAUACUGCUCUCCAGGCUGCAAUUUUCUGCAAUGUACUUUAUGAUAAAAUGUUCCACUCUGCGGUAUCUCAGUAAAUACAUUUAUCUGUG
ensembl:lncRNA